rnacentral:rRNA from 1 species
AUGGUAGGAUAGAGGCCUACCAUGGUGGUAACGGGUAACGGGGUGUUAGGGCACGACACCGGAGAGGGAGCCUGAGAAACGGCUACCACAUCCAAGGAAGGCAGCAGGCGCGCAAAUUACCCAAUCCCGACACGGGGAGGUAGUGACAAUAAAUAACAAUACAGGGUUCUUUGAAUCUUGUAAUUGGAAUGAGUACAAUUUAAAUCUCUUAACGAGGAACAAUUGGAGGGCAAGUCUGGUGCCAGCAGCCGCGGUAAUUCCAGCUCCAAUAGCGUAUAUNAAAGUUGUUGCAGUUAAAAAGCUCGUAGUUGAAUUUCGGGAUCAAUACGUCGGUCGUGCUUUCGGGUGCGUACUGGCGUCAUUGGUUUCUCCUUUCUGACGAACCAUGAUGUCAUUAAUUUGGUGUUAUGGGGAGUUAGGACUGUUACUUUGAAAAAAUUAGAGUGUUUAAAGCAGGCAUUAGCUUGAAUACAUUAGCAUGGAAUAAUGAAAUAAGACGUUCGAUCCUAUUUUGUUGGUUUCUAGGAUCAACGUAAUGAUUAAUAGGGAUAGUUGGGGGCAUUAGUAUUCAAUUGUCAGAGGUGAAAUUCUUGGAUUUAUUGAAGACUAACUACUGCGAAAGCAUUUGCCAAGGAUGUUUUCAUUAAUCAAGAACGAAAGUUAGGGGAUCGAAGACGAUCAGAUACCGUCGUAGUCUUAACCAUAAACUAUGCCGACUAGGGAUCGGAUGAUGUUAAUUUUUUAAUGACUCAUUCGGCGCCUUACGGGAAACCAAAGUGUUUGGG